GUUUACAGCCAUGCUACCCUAAACGUGCCCGAUCUCUUCUGAUCUUGGAAGCUAAGCAGGGUUGGGCCUGGUUAAUACUUGGAUGGGAUACCACCUAGGAAUACCAGGUCCUGUAGGUG
rnacentral:rRNA from 1 species